AUCCAACUCCGAGGGCGUGGGCCUGAGCGCCAAGUGUGCAAACUCCUGCAGGCGAGAGCUGACUGCCGGGCGCAGGUGGGUUGCCUGGCUCCACGCUGCGACCAGCAGGGCGAGUGGCCGAGUUCCGCGGACGGAACCGGGAGGAUGUGAGACCUGUCUUUGAAGUCUGCUCGCGGUGAGCGUUCAAAAUCAGCAGUGUUUGCUCAGGUUGCACUGACCCUUUCCAGUGAGCGACCCCCUGCGCCGCUCGCUUCCUUGGCCAGUAGCUGAGUAAAGGAAAGCCUGGCAGUGUAAAACGGCCCCAGCCAAAACUUACUCCCCGCCACCCCCGGGGCCGUGAGAAACCCGCUGCACAUAAUAACCAGAACUGAAAACUUCCCCAAUGAACAGAGUGCAAAACAGCUGAAGAAGGAUCCUCAUUACUCAAAAGAUACGUUGACACACCUCUGGGCUUUGAGCCUGUGAGAAGGGCCCAGCUCUCUGCCACUUAAAGUAGCAACAUGGUUGAUGACAUUCUUCUUUGGCCCGCUCCCUGUGAGAGAACACAAACCACUCCAAGAUGAGCUGGAAUGCAGCCUUCAUCAUAGGACGAUGUGUAGACUUUUUCUUGGACCCUUCCCUGGAAGAUGAGAUGAUACUGUUAGAAACCACCACAGGGUGGAUGCAUGAGAGGAAGAUCUUUUCCAACUGUAUUCAAGUCUGGAGUUCUUCGGGUAAAAAUUAAUCUUCCUGUGGACUCCAGAGGGCCCAUGGGAUUUUCCUUUUGGAUUAGUUGGAUGGUAGCAAGGUAAGCCUGAAGUUUCUCUUCAUGUUAUUACCUAUUAUUUUCUCUGGAAGGGAGGUUUGAAGAGCCCCUUGACUGUGCAAUGGGCAUUGGGAAUUAAGAGAAUGUUUAUUUUCAAUGGCAUGUUCUCAAAGAAAUAUAUAGGCAACUGUCAAAUUCCCUAACCUCCUUAAGCAUCAAGUUCAUAAGUUCUAAAAUGUAUGUAUUUAUAGUACCGUAUUCUAUUUUCCAGGAUUGGUGUGGGAUUAAAAUGAAAUAAUUCAUAUAAAGUCCUAAGCAUAUUACCUGGGAUUUGGUGAAUGCUUUAAUGUUAGCAGCUACAUAACCAUAUUGAUAAUGUAUAUAAUAACUCCUUUUUUUAGCAUUGUUUGGAAAUGCGAUGCAUUUUGCAAAUAACUAAAGCCUAAUUCUGUAUUAAACCUUUAAAUUUUCUAUAAUUUUAGUUGAAAGUAUUUCUGAAAUGUGUUCAGUGCAUUUCUGCCUUACUUCGUUAAACUGAGACAAGAUUUGUCUUAGGACUAGAGCACAGGGAGCUCUGUGGGAAGAAUGUUGUACUUUUACUUUAACCCCUGGAUUUUUAGUUACUGUUCUGAGUUUUUAGGAAUUAGACCCAAGAGGGGCUAAAUUCAAAGAGUCUCAAGAUUAACACCAAAUUUGUUUUAAUAUGAGUCUUUAUUUCUAUACACUAAAACAUUUUGCAACCCCUGGUGGGAAGGACUCAAUUUGUCUACUUAAGAAAUAUCCAUUGAAUGUCUCCUAUGUCCCAGGAAGUACUUGUGAUGCUGAAUAAACAGGACACAGACAAAAAUCCCUAUUCUCA
rnacentral:lncRNA from 1 species